GUGAAUCACAUGCCUGCGAAUGAAAGGGAAGGACACACAGCAGCCUGGGAAAGGAAACAGACGUCCAGAGGCUCAGUGGCUGUCAUUGCGAAAGCAAAUUCCCACUCUAAUUAACAUCAAGAGUUUCAAUAACUGCGUACAUGCGCUCUCUCUCCAUGAGUGAGGAUCACAGCACACGCUCUGAAGAUACCUGAAUUUAUCCUCCAGCAUAAGCAGGUGAUGUAAUCUGAAAGGCUGCUCCAAAGGCAAGAAGUCUUUAGGGAUGGAGAGAAGCAAGGCCUUUAUGAUUGCUGCCCAUUUCAUCAUGUGUUCAGCGUUUGCAGGCUUGGUGGAGGGAACAGGAAGACUCUGGACAACGGCAGAAAGGUGCAGGACACUGCCAUGUGACAAAAUAACAUAUGAUGCUGCCGUACGUGAAAAUUGUGUUCAGCCGUUCACUCAGGAUAUGGCAACCACUGAAUACCAACACAAUUGUCCCUGGCCAACCACUAGAAGAUACUACGUCAACCUGAUGAUGUGCCUUGAGAAUCUGGCUAAAUUCACAUGCUGUAUGGACGCGUCUUACAGACACCACUUGCUGAUGGAAAUCCAUGAGAUGUAUUUCUCUCUGUGCUCAUAUAUGAAGGAUCCAGGUGUGCCCAUCCUGCUGCUGCUCAUCGCCCCCUGCGCCAUCAUCCCGCUCAUAAUACCGUUCCUCUGCCAGUACUUCCAAGCUGCAUGAGUAUAGACUGCCAAACGCC